rnacentral:rRNA from 1 species
UACAGAGGUGGCAAGCGUUGUUCGGAAUUACUGGGCGUAAAGCGCGUGUAGGCGGCUCGGCAAGUCGGAUGUGAAAGCCCUGGGCUUAACCCAGGAAGUGCACUCGAAACUGCCGAGCUUGAGUUCUGGAGAGGAAGGCGGAAUUCUCGGUGUAGAGGUGAAAUUCGUAGAUAUCGAGAGGAACACCGGUGGCGAAGGCGGCUUUCUGGACAGUGACUGACGCUGAGACGCGAAAGCGUGGGGAGCAAACAGG